rnacentral:rRNA from 1 species
GCGUCAUAGAGGGUGAGAAUCCCGUCUUUGGCACGGAAACCCCAGGGCUUUUGUGAUGCGCUCUCGAAGAGUCGAGUUGUUUGGGAAUGCAGCUCAAAAUGGGUGGUGAACUCCAUCUAAAGCUAAAUAUUGGCGAGAGACCGAUAGCGAACAAGUACCGUGAGGGAAAGAUGAAAAGCACUUUGGAAAGAGAGUGAAACAGUACGUGAAAUUGUUGAAAGGGAAACGCUUGAAGUCAGUCGCGUCGACCGAGACUCAGCCUUGCCCUUGGCUUGGUGUACUUCUCGGCUGACGGGUCAGCAUCAAUUUUGCCCCUUGGAUAAUGGCGAGGGAAAUGUGACACCUUUACGGUGUGUUAUAGUCUCUUGUCGCAUGCAAGGGUUGGGAUUGAGGAACUCAGCACGCACCUUUGGGUGUCGGGGCUUUGCCCACGAUACGUGCUUAGGAUGUUGGCGUAAUGGCUUUAAACGACCCGUCUUGAAACACGGACCAAGGAGUCUAACAUGCCUGCGAGUGUUCGGGUGGAAAACUCGUGCGCGCAAUGAAAGUGAAAGUUGGGACCUCUGUCGUGGAGGGCACCGGCGCCCGGACCAGACCUUCUGUGACGGCUCUGCGGUAAAGCAUGUAUGUUAGGACCCGAAAGAUGGUGAACUAUGCCUGAAUAGGGUGAAGCCAGAGGAAACUCUGGUGGAGGCUCGUAGCGAUUCUGACGUGCAAAUCGAUCGUCAAAUUUGGGUAUAGGGGCGAAAGACUAAUCGAACCAUCUAGUA